AAGUCAAAUUAUUGGUUAUAUUACUGUCUGGUAUCUUUUUUAUUAUUUCAAUUAUUUAAUCAUUUCAACUUUUUUUUUUCGAAAUUUACAUACAAGUAUCUUCAGUUUGCUGGUUGUGAAUAAUUCUGCUACAAAGUUUACUAACAAAUUUCGAAAUUGAAGUUUUAUUAGGUCAAUUGUUGAAUAUAUGUAUGUGUGUUUCUAUUUUUACAGCCUCCGAAGAAAUUUCCUUCUUGGUUUCAGAUUGAGGCAAACUUUGUACUCUCAAGGAAGCAAUGAAACAAGAAAACAGGUUAUUGGUAAUUGACAUUCUAUAUAGUUAUUUAAUGCUUCAUUUCAAAUGUUGUGCUUGAUAAUGAUUAAUGUUACGGGGGUGGGGAAGAUUCACUUUAUAUGAUUACAAUGUAACCUGUUUGAUCUCUGCUUUGAUGUCCCAUGUAAGCUCUCCCUUUUAUUAUAUAUAUGUAUUUUUUACAUGUCUGGGGAAAAUUCAGUUGUCAUCCCAAACUAGCACCUUUAAUUUUGAAUUAGGUGGAGAGAGGAAGUUUAAUGCUUUGUGGCUUUCUAAUUUACUUUAUUCUUCUGGGAUGAGGUCUUUGGGAAGAUUUGCAGUUUUUAUGUUCAGCAGUUAUUCUUUCUCCCUAACAAUGAUGGGAGAUGGAAAAAUAGAAUUGGAUACUGCUACGUGCUACAUUUCCCAAUCAACGGCAGUUUAUAAAUUAUGCAGCUUUUGUGUGGAGUAAAUUCUCCAAUGAGAUUCUAUUGAGGCUUGCUUUCCAUCUUCUGAGUUCAAUUUUCAUUGGAGUUUGUUGAACUUUGGUUGGCCUAUAUAGGUGAGUGUCUAAUCAAUCGUGGAAUGCUCGAUUAGGACUACUGCCCCAAGUUUCUUCGACCAGAACAUUCCAAGGCUUAAAUGUUGAACGCUGUUUUGAAUGGCUGAGAGAAAUGAGGAUGGAGCUGGGAAACUUCUGCAACAGGGUCCCUCCUCAGAUCCUGCUGCUGGCCUUCUGAUUCUG